rnacentral:rRNA from 1 species
AUUGAACGCUGGCGGCAUGCUUUACACAUGCAAGUCGAACGGCAGCGCGGGGGCAACCCUGGCGGCGAGUGGCGAACGGGUGAGUAAUGUAUCGGAACGUAUCCUGUAAUGGGGAUAACCAGUCGAAAGAUUGGGUAAUACCGCAUACGCACGAGAGUGGAAAGUAGGGGAUCGCAAGACCUUACGUUAUAGGAGCGGCCGAUAUCUGAUUAGCUAGUUGGUGGGGUAAAGGCCUACCAAGGCGACGAUCAGUAGCUGGUCUGAGAGGAUGAUCAGCCACACUGGGACUGAGACACGGCCCAGACUCCUACGGGAGGCAGCAGUGGGAAUUUUGGACAAUGGGCGAAAGCCUGAUCCAGCCAUGCCGCGUGCGGGAAG